ensembl:lncRNA
GUCUGCAAGAUCCCAGAGUAUACAUAGGCCUGGCCAUUCAAAGUAGACAUGGGCCACCUUGGAUGUGUAUGUGGAAGUGUUUCAUGUACUUGUUAUUCUUCUUUUUCUCCUGAGGAAAGAGAAUGAAGUCAGAGUCUGCAGGGGAUCAAUCCUGUGGACAAGUUCCCCUCCAAGACUGCAAUGCACAAGCAGAUUGCUGACUGGGCUACAGGCCAUGAAUCCACCUCACUCAGACUGGACUAUGGAAAGGUUUCUAAUCCAAAACUGUUUUGUGUUGGUGGAUGCUGUGGUACACAGAUUCAUCCCCUUAUGACAGACACACUGAAGCUGCUGGGAGUCUUGAUGGCUGAGAUCUUACACGGCUGUUUUCUCUGGAGAUGCUAGCAAUUAUGUCAUCGUCAGGAGACACACACGUUAAGAAACUGUGAUCAACAGUCAGCAGAGAACUGAGAGCUCCUGUCAACAGUACGUGAAUGAGCUUAGAAGCGAAUCACCCAGCCCCAGUCAAACCUUCAGAGGAAGCAGCCAAAGCCUAUAGCCUGAAUGAGACCUUAAGAGAGACUCUGAGCCAGAGCAAGAGCUACACACUUAAGCAAACCCUCAGGUGCUUUCUGAAAUAACUAACAUUCAUUGUUUUAAGGUGCAAAUUUGGGGAGCAAUUUAGUAUACAGGAAUAGAUAAUGAAUACAAUCACCCAGUGUCUUGGAGGCCUAACUUUCUUUUAGGUGGCAAAUCACUCACUAGGUCAUUUAUCUUCAAAUAGAAUACAAGGCAGCUUCAAAAAUAGGCUCAAUCCUCAAAUGCAAAUAACUUGUUCUAGUAGUUGACAAUCAAGUACCAAUUUCUCUACUCUUCAAAAAAUCUGGAGUAGGUAGCAUUACGAAUUAAGCAGUUCCAGGAAGGGGGUAGAAAGUAAAAGGUGACAGAAUUGCCUCAUAGGCAUUUCAAAAUGAGAAAGAACAAAUAAGUAUUAUAGAUUUGUAAGUAUUAGCCUAUAUCGUGAAAAGAAAAUUGGACUGGGGUUAAAAUGUCUGUGCUAGGUAAAACUCAGAUUUGCCGCUCAAUAAUGAUAAUUCCUUUCUUUUUUUCUGUUCCUCAGUGACCUCCUCUAUAAACCGAUAGUAAGAAGAUGAGCUUAUUAGGUAGUUGGGAGGAUUAGAUGGGUCACUGGUUCUCCUGGGAGGCUCAGGGUAUUCAACCAAUGUAUAGUGGCAGUUUUUGUUGUCAACAUGAUGAAGGGAGCACUGCUGACAUUUAGCGGGAAGGGCCGUGGAGGAGAGAUGUUCAGCUGUGUGCCCGGCAGGACAGUCCCACAUGACGCAGAAGUACCUGGAUUUCCAGUGUCCUGCCACUCAUUCCUGCAGAGAGAAGGCCACCUUGAAAUGAUCUGACCUUAGAACAUUAUACAUUGUACAUACAAAUACAAAGUUUGUUGUUUUUUUCUAAAGCCAUAUUUUACGACAUACUGAAUUUUCCAGAAAAACAGCUGCCAUGAAACACACAAAAUAUAUUCCUUUAUAAACUGAACUUUACCAAGGGUUGUUGAG